ACGCCUUAUACAUGCAAGUCGAACGAAGUAGCAAUACUUAGUGGCAGACGGGUGAGUAACAUGUGGGUAUCUUCCCUUUGGUGAGGAAUAACACGAGGAAACUUGUGCUAAUACCUCAUAAGUCUUUACGGAGAAAGCUUUAUGCGCCAAUGGAUGAGCCCGCACUUGAUUAGUUUGUUGGUGGGGUAAUGGCCUACCAAGACUUUGAUCAAUAGCUGAUCUGAGAGGAUGAUCAGCCACAUUGGGACUGAGACACGGCCCAAACUCCUACGGGAGGCAGCAGUAGGGAAUAUUGCACAAUGGAGGAAACUCUGAUGCAGCGAUGCCGCGUGAGUGAAGAAGGCCCUUGGGUUGUAAAGCUCUUUCGUCGGGGAAGAAAAUGACUGUACCCGAAUAAGAAGGUCCGGCUAACUUCGUGCCAGCAGCCGCGGUAAUACGAAGGGACCUAGCGUAGUUCGGAAUUACUGGGCUUAAAGAGUUCGUAGGUUGUUAAAAAAGUUGGUUGUGAAAUCCCGAAGCUUAACUUCGGAACUGCAAUCAAAACUUUUUAGCUAGAGUAUGAUAGAGGAAAGCAGAAUUUCUAGUGUAGAGGUGAAAUUCGUAGAUAUUAGAAAGAAUACCAAUUGCGAAGGCAGCUUUCUGGAUCAUUACUGACACUGAGGAACGAAAGCAUGGGUAGCGAAGAGGAUUAGAUACCCUCGUAGUCCAUGCCGUAAACGAUGUGUGUUAGACGUUGGAAAUUAUUUUCAGUGUCGCAGCGAAAGCAUUAAACACACCGCCUGGGGAGUACGAC
rnacentral:rRNA from 1 species